GGGAGGUAGUGACGAAAAAUAACAAUACAGGACUCAUUAUAGAGGCCCUGUAAUUGGAAUGAGUACACUUUAAAUCCUUUAACAAGGACCUAUUGGAGGGCAAGUCUGGUGCCAGCAGCCGCGGUAACUCCAGCUCCAAUAGCGUAUAUUAAAGUUGUUGCGGUUAAAACGUUCGUAGUUGAACUUGUGCUUCAUACGGGUAGUAUAACUAUAAUUGUAGUCUGUACUAUACCUUAUGUAUGUAAGCGUAUUACCGGUGGAGUUCUUAUAUGUAUUAAAUACUUGUAUUUAUAUGUAUUCCUCCUAUUUAAACCUGCUUCAGUGCUCUUCAUUGCGUGCUGUUGUAGGCCGGUACAAUUACUUUGAACAAAUUAGAGUGCUUAAAGCAGGCUCCAAAUGCCUGAAUAUUUUGUGCAUGGAAUAAUGAAAUAAGACCUCUGUUCUACUUUCAUUGGUUUUUAGAUCAAGAGGUAAUGAUUAAUAGAAGCAGUUUGGGGGCAUUAGUAUUACGACGCGAGAGGUGAAAUUCUUGGACCGUCGUAAGACUAACUUAAGCGAAAGCAUUUGCCAAAGAUGUUUUCAUUAAUCAAGAACGAAAGUUAGAGGUUCGAAGGCGAUCAGAUACCGCCCUAGUUCUAACCAUAAACGAUGCCAGCUAGCAAUUGGGUGUAGCUACUAUUAUGGCUCUCUCAGUCGCUUCCCGGGAAACCAAAGCUUUUGGGCUCCGGGGGAAGUAUGGUUGCAAAGCUGAAACUUAAAGGAAUUGACGGAAGGGCACCACCAGGAGUGGAGCCUGCGGCUUAAUUUGACUCAACACGGGAAAA
rnacentral:rRNA from 1 species